CCAAAGUGUUUUCAACCUUUAGCAGUCAUGCCAGAGCACCCAUGAGUAUCUCUCUCGCUCUACCUUUUACCAGGUCCAGAAGUGAGAAGGCAGAAGCUGGGUUGAGAGAAACAUUCUGCCUCCCCUAGGCCCUAACUGGAGUAGAAGACAUCUAUAGUAUGAAUUAUAUGUAAAUACCAACCACCUUUAAAAAAGAACAAGGAAAGGCAGUAGUCAUUUUGUCUAGUUUCAGUCCUUACUAAAGCUAUAUAGACCAGUUAUCAUGACCACUUGGCCUGAUAUCCAUCAGCAGUAAAAGGAAGACUGGGGACACAGUGGGCCAGCUGCUGAACAAGGAAGGGGCCCACAGGAUGCAGAGAAGGUGGAGUUACUCAAUGCCUUCUUUGCCUUGGUCUUUACUGCUAAGGCUGGCCCUCAGGCAUCUCAGCCCCCAGAGAAAAGAGGACAAAUCGGGACAAAGGAAGACUUACCAUCGGUUGAGAAGGAUUGGGUCAGAGAUCACCUGGGCAAACUGGAUCCUCACAAAUCCAUGGGCCCCGAUGGGAUGCACCCACAAGUGCUGAGGGAGCUGAUGGAUGUUUUUGCUGAGCCACUCUCCAUCAUCUUUGAAAGGUCGUGGAGGACAGGAGAGGUGCCCGAUGACUGGAGGACAGCAAAUGUCACUGCAAUCUUCAAAAAGGGCAAGAAGGAGGACCUGGGAAACUGUAGACCAGUCAGCCUCAGCUCCAUGCCUGGAAAGGUGAUGGAACAGUUCAUCCUGGAGGUCAUCUCCAGGCAUGUAGAGAAAAAGAAGGUUAUCAGAAGUAGUCAGCAUGUUCACCAAGGGAAGAUCAUGCUUGACCAACCUGAUAGCCUUCUACAAUGGCGUGACUGGCUGGGUCAACAAAGGGAGAACAGUGGAUGUUGUCUGUCUUGACUUCAAUAAGGCAUUCAACACUGUCUCCCAUAGCCUCCUCACAGGCAGGCUAAGGAAGUGUGAGUUGGAUGAGAGGACAGUGAGGUGGACAGAGAUCUGGCUCAGCAACAAAACUCAGAGGAUCCUAAUCAAUGGAGCAGAGUCUGGAUGGAGGCCUGUCACUAGUGGUGUUCCCCAGGGGUCUGUGCUGGGUCCAGUCCUGUUCAACAUAUUCAUCAAUGGACAAAGGGACAGAGUGUACCCUCAGCAAGUUUGCUGAUGAUACCAAGCUGGGAGGAGUGGCUGACACACCAGAAGGCUGUGCUGCCAUCCAGCGAGACCUGGACAGGCUGGAGAGGUGGGCCGAGGGGAAACUCAUGAAAUUCAACAAGAGCAAGUGCAAGGUCCUGCACCUGGGGAGGAACAACCCCAUGCACCAGUACAGGCUGGGGGCUGAACUACUGGAAAGCAGCUCUGUUGAGAAGGACCUGGGAGUGCUGGUGGACAGCAAGGUGACCAUGAGCCAACAAUGUGCCCUUGUGGCCAAGAAGGCCAAUGGUAUCCUGAGAUGCAUUAAAAGGAGUGUGGCCAGCAGAUGGAAGAAGGUUAUCCUCCCCCUCUGCUCUGCCCUAGUGAGGCCACAUUUGGAGCACUAUGUCCAGUUUUGCGCUCCCCAGUUUAAGAAGGACAGGGAACUGCUUGAACAAGUCCAGCGGAGAGCUAUGAAGAUGAUCAGGGGACUGGAGGAUCUCCCUUAGGAGGAAAGGCUGAGAGACUUGGGUUUGUUCAGCCUGCAGAAGAGAAGACUGAGGGGGGAUUUCAUCAAUACCUAUAAAUAUCUAAAGGGUGGGUGUCAGGAUGAUGGGACUAGGCUCUUUUCAAUAGUGCCCAAUGAGAGGACAAGGGACAAAGGGCUCAGGUUGGAACACAGGAAGUUCCACCUCAAUAUGAGAAAAAACUUCCUUACUGUGAGGGUGCCAGAGCAGUGGCACAGGCUGCCCAGGAAGGUCGUGGAGUCUCCUUCCCUGGAGACUUUCAAAACCCACCUGGACGCAUUCCUGUGCCCCCUUGCUCUGGGUGUGCCUGCUCAAGCAGCAGGUUGGACAAGAUGAUCUCCAGAGGUCCCUUCCAACCCCUACCAUUCUGUGAUUCUAUGAUUCUGUAGAGAAAUAAAAUAUCAGAUACAUGAUAUAAAUAUGUAAUCAGUUUAGUUAAGAAAUCAAUUAAAAGUCAUUUUGCUGACUGAAUGCAAUAAGAAAUCGAUCUCCAUUAACUGAAAAUGACAUGUUACAAGCAAAAUAGAAGUUUUUUCAUACUGCAGUGGUACAGGUUCCACUAAAUGUAUACCUAUCUCAGGUUAGCUGAAUCAGCACAACUUUCUUACCUCAGACACAGUUGCUGUUUUGAAAUGCUAAAAGCAUUUCCACACUGGGUGGAAACCUAUGCUCUUAACUUAGCCUGGAUGUGGUUCAAUCAUAGAGUCAGUCUGGCUUUUGGACUCCUCAUACCACAUCAAAAACAUCAUAACCACAAGAUACAAGUCACUGUCUAGUGUCAACUUACCCUGCUAGGUCAAACUUGCCCAAAGUAUUUGUGAUUGGCUCUGCAGUACUAGGAUUUGGAAAUGUCUAUACAAGUGAAUUAAAAGAGUGAAGGACCAUUUUCUGGCACUGAAGGCAAAUAGCAUUGAGUAGUGGGCAUCCAUAAUGUAAAACCGUCUUAUCCACCAAAAUACAGUGGUAAUAUUCAAACACUUAUUGGAAUUGCUUUCAGCUCCUACUAAUUGCCAAAUUAUGCCCAAGCUUUAUUAAGGGAACAUUAGCAGGUGUGAGCCAAAACCAUGCCUUAGGCUGUGGCAAGAUUUUAGCAGUACAGAGGACUGAGUUUCAGUGCCCAGGAACUUUCUAUGGCAGUCUUUGAUCUGCUUCAAUAGAAGGUAUUGAAGAGUAGUCAUCUAGGUCUGUCUGAGACACACUAUGGUAUUUCAAAGACGGAUUGCCAGAAGUGGUACACAUCCUGCAAGGAAACCCUGUUUUUUGGGGCCAAGAAAUAAAAGCUAAGAAGAAUAUAAUUCCCUGCAGCCUUGAGCAUCCCCAGUUGUAGUAGAUACCUCUCUUUGUCUGGGGACCUGAGCUGAGGCUUUUAUGUUCAUACCCAGUUAUCAUAGACCAGACAUGGCAUGACCUGGUUUACCACAUCCAUCAUACUUACAUGAAAAUUAUAUCAAGACCACAUUGUUUCAUAAGGUCUGUUUAACUCAGCAGAAAUGUAGUCUACUUCCACAGAAUAAAGAACGAGUCUGGGAUUAAAAUGUUUGGUGACAUGACAAUGUUCACAUAUUGUGUUACUGAUGGAGGAGCAAUAACCUUCUAUUAAAGUGCAGUGAAAAAUUUUGGACAUUCUGUUUUAACUUAUAUUAGUAGUUUAAAUCCAAACCUGUAGGGGAACCACAAGCAGAGGAAUAGACGAGAUCAUCUCUCUUUGUCAAUAGAUGAGCAAUAUUAUUUUUUCCAUAUUUAUGUCAGAAUUCUUCACAAAUCCCCACUCAUCACUUCUGCUUUUGUAUUUCAGAAAUGGUUUUGGGGAAAUCCACUAACUGACAUGAGAAAAGGAAGAGAGAAAAAGUGGAAUUUCCACAAGCUGCAGGUCAAACCACGACUUUUUUGAAGGAAAAAACCUAAAAUAUUUUAAAGUUAAUCAUCAGUGUCGAGGGUUUUUGCACCUCCUCUUUCAUUCUGAUAUAAUUCUUUUUCAUUGAAUUCUGUAAUAUCUUCAGAAAUCUGAUGUUGAACUGACUGCCCUAGGUGGCCCUGCAUGAGCAGGGGGUUGGACCAGAUGACCUCCAGAGGUCCCUGCCAACCUCAACCAUUCUGGGGUUCAGUGACUGCAGAACUUGGAAUGCCCUUCACUCUUCAUCAGUCCCACCAAAUUUUCCCCUGGGAAAAGGACCAACUGAGUCUUUCAGCAACACCUGUCACCUUAGUAUCCAAAAUGGAAGAAAAAAGGCAGUGGACCAAAUGAAAAGAAGAGAAAUUAAAUGAGUAGAGAAGAUAAAUAGAAUAAGGGGUGGGGAGCACCUAUGAGCUUAUUAAUUUAGCUAUACUGUAUGGGACACAGUUUAACUCACCUCCUGUGCUGUUCCAGUAUUCCAGUGGUUACUUGGCUGAAUAUCUUUUGCCCUAAAAAUGACAAUCCAGGAUAUGUUUUACCUUAAGUAGUGACUUCUGGCUAUGUACAGCUUAAGAAUUCAGUUUCUCAUGGAAAUUAUUUAGGAUCAUGAAAUAGUGAUACCUCUCAAAGCUCACUUUGUAUUGGAAAGGUGGAUUUUUUUAUCCCCAUUAUUCCUCACCUCAAUACUAAAAUAGCCUUCACUAGAACUGCCAAAGGAAGUACUUACACCUAUGACAGGAUUAACAAGAGUGGGUUGCUAAUGUCUGAUGAACAUCCAUUCAGUGGAGAAUCCCUGCAAAUAAAAUGCAGCCCACCAGCUGCAAUACUUUUAUUUUAUUUUAACUCUGAAGUUAGGGGGAUGGAAUUAAGCAACCGGUCUUAGGGGAAGAAGGAAGGAGUUUGAGUGUUGUGACAAAGCUAGUCAGGAAUACUUGAUAAAGGGUGUGAAAGGGUGGGCUUGAAGGAAAAAUUUUCUCCCCGGUCGUUAAUCAGAGGCUGCAGAGGGACUAGAAGAGAGGGGCCAGGAAGGGGGAGAGAAUUCAGAGUCUGAAGAAACCCCAUUCAGGAAGAGGAAGAUUGAACAGCUAAAGAGACUCUCCUUAAUUUCAAAGACAGCUUGAGAAUGAUCAGAAAAAUGACUCCAGGAAAUGUGGGAAGCUUUUAUGGUUUGACUACAUCUACAUAUUUUUUGUGUUAAAGAAAAUAAAAUUAAAAAUUAUUCUGGAAA